GACGAACGCUGGCGGCGUGCUUAACACAUGCAAGUCGAACGAAGUGGCGAACGGGUGAGUAAUACGUGAGUAACCUGCCCUCCUGUUUGGGAUAAGCCUUGGAAACGGGGUCUAAUACCGAAUAAAGGGGGAUGGGCUCGCUGGCUAUCAGCUUGGUGGUGGGGUGAUGGCGUACCAAGGCGGUGACGGGUAGCCGGCCUGAGAGGGUGACCGGGGACAUGGGGACUGGGACACGGCCCAGAGUGCGACGGGAGUGAGCAGUGGGGGAUAUUGGGCGAUGGGCGGAAGCAUGAUGGAGGGGCGUGUGAUGGGGGAUUAAGGAUUUCGGGUUGUAAACAUCUUUGGGUAUCGAACGGGUAGGUGGAGAAGAAGCACCGGCUAACUUCGUGCCAGCAGCCGCGGUAAUUC
rnacentral:rRNA from 1 species